rnacentral:rRNA from 1 species
GGUUGACCUCGGAUCAGGUGGGGAUACCCGCUGAACUUAAGCAUAUCAAUAAGCGGAGGAAAAGAAACCAACAGGGAUUGCCUCAGUAACGGCGAGUGAAGCGGCAACAGCUCAAAUUUGAAAUCUGGCCGUUCGGCGGUCCGAGUUGUAAUUUGUAGAGGAUGCUUCGGGUGCGGCGCCGGUCUAAGUUCCUUGGAACAGGACGUCACAGAGGGUGAGAAUCCCGUAUGUGACCGGCGACCCAGCCCGUGUGAAGCUCCCUCGACGAGUCGAGUUGUUUGGGAAUGCAGCUCUAAAUGGGUGGUAAAUUUCAUCUAAAGCUAAAUACCGGCCAGAGACCGAUAGCGCACAAGUAGAGUGAUCGAAAGAUGAAAAGCACUUUGGAAAGAGAGUUAAAAAGUACGUGAAAUUGUUGAAAGGGAAGCGCUUGCGACCAGACUUGCUCACGGGCGAUCAGCCGCCCUUCUGGGCGGUGCACUCGCCCGUGAUCAGGCCAGCAUCGGUCCGGGCGGCCGGAUAAAGGCCCCGGGAAUGUGGCUCCCCUCGGGGAGUGUUAUAGCCCGGGGUGCAAUGCGGCCAGCCGGGACCGAGGACCGCGCUUCGGCUAGGAUGCUGGCGUAAUGGUCGUAAGCGACCCGUCUUGAAACACGGACCAAGGAGUCUAACAUCUGUGCGAGUGUUUGGGUGUCAAACCCAUGCGCGGAACGAAAGUGAACGGAGGUGGGAACCCUUCAGGGUGCACCAUCGACCGAUCCUGAUGUCUUCGGAUGGAUUUGAGUAAGAGCAUAGCUGUUGGGACCCGAAAGAUGGUGAACUAUGCCUGAAUAGGGUGAAGCCAGAGGAAACUCUGGUGGAGGCUCGCAGCGGUUCUGACGUGCAAAUCGAUCGUCAAAUUUGGGUAUAGGGGCGAAAGACUAAUCGAACCAUCUAGUAGCUGGUUCCUGCC